rnacentral:lncRNA from 1 species
CUGAGCUAGCUUCCAUCCACCGUAGAGCUCUUCAAACCAUCAUCUACGCCACCGAUUUCAUCUCUGUUUCACCGCUGAACAUCACAGAAUCCUCCAACUCAAACACCUUUGCAUUCCGUUGUUUCACUGCUACUGAACAUAUCCGCUGCCUCUGAUUCAGAUCUCCAUCUUCCGCUGCCUCUGAUUCAGAUCUCCAUCUUCCGCUGCCUAAAUCCAUUUUCCUGGCU